AGUGCAGUGGGCGCGGACUUGGGGUCGUGCUGGGUGGGGGAGAGGGAAAAUACAGUGUUAUUAGUUCAGGAAGAACGGACAGUAAAAUGAAGCAGCGAGGAAUUGGAAGAUGGAUUAAGGAGCCUUGCAGUGAAGAAAGCGACGAGUAGAAGAACUUUUGACGAAGCAACAAGUGGCGACCAAAUUGCCGAAAGGUAUUUGGGUGUUUCGCUUCCUUCGCUUCGUGGUGAUUCGAGUUGCCAUUUGAUUGCUGCUGCUGCAGCUCCACGUGAUCGAUCGUACAAGCACGAAGGGAAAGGUCGUUGUGUUCGCGGAUAAAGGAUUUCCUGCGUGGAGGUUUACAGUUAAAUCUCGUGUGCUCCGUUCGUCGUCGGGGUGGUCCGAGCCCCGAGGUGACUUUCGGGGUUCCCGGUCGUCACACGUCACCGUGUGGUUACAAGGGUAAUCGCGACACGACCCUUUGAGUUGUCUGGUCACGAAGUUCAACCAAACUCGGUGACGCAGUUACGUAACGGUUGGUUGGACCGUUGGAGGAUCCGCUCUGAGUCCGGGGGGGGGGGGAGGUGGUUCGAACCCCGGACGAGUCGUACAAAAGGAUUUAAAACAUGCUGGUGGCAACGAUUUCGUGUUGUGAAGAUGAACACCAACCAAUGUGCUGUAGUUGUCGUGGUCUAGUGUGAAGAAAAGGAAUGCAAGUGAUUCCAAUACCUCCACAUAAAGUACAAAGUUUUUCUCUCUGUGUCACCUGACAAAGAUGAGUUUGAGGAUCUCCACUCUACCAUGUCCCAAUACUGAAAGGAAUAGAAUACUCCAUGAUGCAACACUGCACAGCUCUCUUCUCCGAGUGACUGUGAAAUCGAACCUCGAAUAAUGAUGUCUCAAAGGUUUGCUUUCCUCUCCAUUGUCCUCUUUUGAUUUGUACAUUUCCACUGCAAAUCCCCCUUCCUGAAACCACUUUGUUCCCAUUCAUCGUUAAUCUCCCUCCUUCUCCUCCCCUAUAUUAUUUCCCCCAUUCUUCCUGCCCGUCCGUGUCCGUUCUGUUUCUCUUUCUGUUCUUCAACACUGCUUUUCUGUUCGAGCCAGAGCCUGUCAUUACCCUGUGGUGCUCGCCAGACUCCCCAGCAUGUUUGCUCAUCCUGCGCAGCUUUUGGAGAGAAGAGGUUUUGACCAUGACAUGUCACAAUCUUGGGAUGAGCUGCGUAGAGGGGGGGGGGG
rnacentral:lncRNA from 1 species